AUAUUGGUGGCUCAGGGGUAGAAUUCUCGCCUUCUGUGCAGGAUACUGGGUUCGAUUCCCAGCCAAUACA
rnacentral:tRNA from 1 species